UGUAUGGAGGAUGAGUAGAUUGCAGCACAUUCAACAAUGUCAACUGACAAACAAGAGGAACAAUAGCUACCCUAAUGUGACUAGCCUUAAUUUAAAUAAUAAUAAUAAUAAUAAUAAUAAUAAUAAUAAUAAAAAAAACAUUAAUAAUAAUAAUAAUAAGAUAUGGUAACGUUAGUGCCUCAGCUUCUGUAACGUUACCGCUCUGUGCCAACCUUAACUUUACAUGCGUCACUUUCAACCACAAAUUUAACGUAAAGCUAACGUCGGAGAUAGCCCUGCAGAUUAUUUUCAAUGGGGACUAUGGAAGAAACCGUUUCCUAUGAAUAGAGGAUUAGCAUUUGCAGAGGUAGUCAAUCAGCAGUGAAUUGGAUUGCAUUGCAUCGAGAGGACAAAAAGAGCAUGACAGACAAACCUAAGGUUCAUGUGUUUCUCGGUGCACCAUGCUCCUCUCUGAGUGCAUCAGCUAGAGAUGCUCAUGAAGACUCUAGUGAUGAAUGGAAAACCCUGGAACUGUCCUGGGAUCAGGGCCAGUUAAGGCCUCGGACCAAUGAUAGAGGGGUCCAGGUUAACCCUGAUUCAGUGCAGGCAAAUAUCUCAUCAGGGCAGGUGAAUAUAGAUGUCAGCAAGGGUCAUUUUGAAUUGGCGACAACAUCUGAGGGGCAUUCAUUGCCAUUGUUUGAAGAAGAUGGAGAAAAUGUGGUCACUGCCAACCCUUCCCCACCUGUCCCACUAAGCCAGCGUUCUCAGAAAAAAAAUCUAUCACAGAAUGAUGAUGACCUUUGUUCAGAAUCACUCCAAGGCUACCUAGACAGCUGCUUUCCACUUGCUCAGCCUCUCACGGUGUCCGAAUGCCAACCGUCCUGCUCUGAUAUUAUGUCUGUGGAGACUCUGUACCUCAGCGUGUGGACAAAGAGCCAAGCCCUUCUCAUGAAAAGGACAUCAGGGCCUCCUCCAGAACCAGCGCCUACAGGAAUGGGUUCCCCACACACGCCACUGACCCAGCAGCAGACUCCAGUGAUCUCCAGGACCUCGCCAGAGCUGUACAGCCCCCACUCCAGCCCAGGCAGCAGCAGCCGGGCAGUGGGAGGAACCCUGCAACCCUCUUUGGACAGAUUCUCCGAGAUUCAGUGGCAGCAGGAAGGGGGUUUGAUGCUGGAGAGGACGCCAGAUGGGCUGCUUUGCACUCAGGGAAUCUCUGCAGCAGCGGCAGCUCCAGCUCCUGUCGACAAAGACGGCCCACUGCAGGGAACUCCUCCGCCCUGUCUCGCUUUACCGAGCCAGCCUACACAGACUCCACCUGGCCGGCCCGCUCACAGCUCACCUGUCUCUCCUGCUCGGAAAAAGAGCAAGUUGUCUCCAACCACACCGGAAGGUCACCAUUCAAAGCCGAAAGCAUGGGCUGGCUGUAUAACUCUCCUGGCCAGAUGCAAAACACACGGAGUGCAGUAUUCGAUUUUAGCUGCUGUGGUGCACCCCUCUCACCUCCAGGAGGUGAAGAUGAAAAGGGGUGCAGCAGCAGGAAGUGCUAUUCCCCUGGCAACGUUGAUAGUCACUGACCAGUCGGAUGUGGAAAUGAAAGUGGUGAUGUGGAGGACCGCUGCCUUCUGGGUACUGACAGUACAGCCAGGAGAUGUGCUGCUAAUCACAGGCAUAAGGGUUCACGAGGACAAGUGGAGGGGGGAAACGGUGUUGCAGUCCUCCUACACAAGCAAACUGCUCAACCUGGGCCAGGUGACCAACAGCCUCUGUUCCUCAGUGCCUCAGGCAGUGAACAGACGGACUCUGGGAGAGCUGUGUGCUCAUCUGCGGGAGAGGCGCCCCCUUCUGCUCUCCCUGCCUCGUUGCAGCCAUCAGGACCUAAGCACAAUUCCCUACGCAAAACUCAAAGCUCUGCGCCCUGAUACCCUAGUCCAUGCUCUUGUCCGGGUCACACACACCAACAUGGUAACAGCCUGGCGGGAUGAGGCCCAGGGGAUCUCCCGGGUGGCUGGAGUUCAGAGAUCAGUGUUGACUGUGGAGCAAGCAGAUGGCCAUCAGGGGGCAGUAGUGCUAUGGGGUGCUGCCCUGGCAUGGCUGGAGCGCAUUCAGAAGCAUAAAGAGGCGCUGUGGGAUUUCCGGAUGCUUCUUGUGAAGCAGGAUGUGACCUCAGGUCUCCUUGAGCUUCAUUCAACUCCCUGGGGCUCCUGCCAGGUUGUCUCUCCCAGUGAUAACCGCUGUGCAGAGUUCCUCAAGCUGGGCCAGAACAACCCAACUAACUCCUGUAUAGAAAUUGACCUACGUACACUACUGUCCCAGAAGUACACAGGUGAUGUGGAGCUUAAAGCACAAAUAACAGGCUUCCAGUUUCAAGGCAGCCCAGCCCAAAACACCUGGCAGGUGAUUAACAGCCAUAUGAGCCUUGAGACAAUUUUGGAGAUUGUCUCUGGAGACGUGACUUUCACCGGGUGUGGGCGCUGUGCUGUGGAGUUGGACACUGAUGACAAUGGAAUCUACAGGCCCUGCUACCCGUGCCUACCACACACUGCUGUGCGACACUACUACAGGCCAGUAGUACUGACGGUAAAGGAUGGUGAGUUCCAGGUGUAUGUACAGGUGCCUCCCACUCUGGUGCAGAGGGUUCUUCUGAAUACUCCCCCAGAUAAACUGAGCAAGACCGUGGCUCCCUCCUCUGAUGUUAGGCAUGUCCAGGUGGUGGCAGAGAGAAUCCAUUCUCUGUUGGCUACUGCCCACCGCAGCCCUUUUCUGCUGACUGUCCGAAGCCAAAUCCAGUGUGAUGAGAACAGUGUUCCCAUCAUCCAAGACUUUGUCCUGCUGGACUUCAGUCCAGCAAACCCAUGAGCCCCUGUUGUGGAAGCUCUCUGAAUCAUUCCUGGGCACGUAUCCAACUUAAAGAAGGGCAACUGAUGACAAAAGAACUGAGAGAAUCUGCACCUAAACAGAGCAUGGAUGUACAGGACUGUACAGGACUGUCUUGGAGGUCUACAGACAAUUCCUUCGACUUCAUGCUUGUUUUGUGGUCUGACAUGCACUGUUAACUGUGGGACCUUAUAUAGACAGGUGAUCGCAAAGGCUGUGAAUACUUAUGUACAGUGAUUUUUUCAUUUUUUAUUUUUAAUAAAUUUGCAAAAAUCUCAAACAAACUUUUUUAAGUUGUCAUUAUGGAGUAUUAUGUGUAGAAUUUUGAGGGGGGGAAAAUAAUUUAGUCAAUUUUUGAACAAGGCUGGAUAACAAAAUGUGGAAAAAGUGAAGCGCUGUAAAUACUUUACGUAUGCACUGUAUACAGAAUCACUCUGACACAUUUGUACACAAAAGUGAAGCUGUAUGUUGUGAAUUGUUCUAAAAUUUCCUCUGUCUGGAUGAAGGGCCAGAUGCUGCAGGGGAAUACCCAGGGCUCAGGUCCUCCAGUAAAUGAGCAUGUGAGCAUAUCUAAUGUGCAUGUUGUUUCUUUUAUUGUGGAAAGCACAGUAAUAUUUUUUGUGCAGGACAUUGGCCAAUAUAAAUAGACUACAUUGGAAAGAGUGGUGGUUUCUGCAAUCAGUUUGACGGAUAUUAUCCCAGAGGAGAAUGUCACCAACACAGAGAGAUUUGUGUUCUGUAUUCUUUUCGAUCUUAAAUUGAUGGUGCCUUUUCCUCCUUCAGGCUACCUCAAAAAAUACUUAUGCGCAGAAUAGUGUAGCGUGCUAGCAUAGACAGUCCUGGAAUGGUGGACUGUGCAGCGCGUGAAUAAAUGUUGACGUUAAAAACCAUGCAAAGUUAGCAAUGUUGU